AGAGUUGGAAGGAGCCCAGAAAUGCUGAGGGGUAGGAAAUGAAGCCUUGCAGAUAUAACAGUUGGUGAUGAACUUUUGCUAGAGGCUUAGCAUGACUUCCUCUUCCCCUGUUUAUGGCUGUGUAAGUUCCAGUCACAGUCUCCUUCCUGAAGUCACGGUCUCUCUCCAGGACACAAAGCUGCUGUGCAGUCCUGUUCUCUUUGCUCAUGUGGAAAGGCACCAGGAAAURACUGUUCUGCUCUUGACACACUGUGGAUUCACAGCUGGUCAGCCAAUGCUUGACACAGACCAGUGUUUCCUGAAACUACAAGUCCUCCAGGAAGACUCAGCAGAGACCAAUACAUAUGCACAGCAGAGAGAAAUACACAGAUGGUGCUUAGACUUUACCAGCCCUUCUUCACAUGCUGUGAUUUGUUAGAUCUCUCCUGUGGCCUGAGUUCCUGACACAUACCCAGACAGGCUUCCUUCACAAAUGUAUUUACAGCUGAAGUUGGGCAAGCGCAGGAAAACAGUA
rnacentral:lncRNA from 1 species